rnacentral:rRNA from 1 species
UACGUAGGUGGCAAGCGUUGUCCGGAUUUACUGGGCGUAAAGCGUAUGCAGGCGGGCCCUUAAGUAGGAAGUGAAAGGUUGGAGCUCAACUCUAACACUGCUCCCUAUACUGAGGGUCUUGAGUGCCGGAGAGGAAGAGGGAACUACACGUGUAGCGGUGAAAUGCGUUGAGAUGUGUAGGAACACCUAUGGCGAAAGCACUCUUCUGGACGGAAACUGACGCUGAGAUACGAAAGCCAAGGUAGCAAACAGG